GAUGAACGCUGGCGGCGUGCCUAAUACAUGCGAGUCGAGCGAACAGACGAGGAGCUUGCUCCUCUGACGUUAGCGGCGGACGGGUGAGUAACACGUGGAUAACCUACCUAUAAGACUGGGAUAACUUCGGGAAACCGGAGCUAAUACCGGAUAAUAUAUUGAACCGCAUGGUUCAAUAGUGAAAGACGGUUUUGCUGUCACUUAUAGAUGGAUCCGCGCCGCAUUAGCUAGUUGGUAAGGUAACGGCUUACCAAGGCAACGAUGCGUAGCCGACCUGAGAGGGUGAUCGGCCACACUGGAACUGAGACACGGUCCAGACUCCUACGGGAGGCAGCAGUAGGGAAUCUUCCGCAAUGGGCGAAAGCCUGACGGAGCAACGCCGCGUGUGUGAUGAAGGUCUUCGGAUCGUAAAACUCUGUUAUUAGGGAAGAACAAAUGUGUAAGUAACUAUGCACGUCUUGACGGUACCUAAUCAGAAAGCCACGGCUAACUACGUG
rnacentral:rRNA from 1 species